UCCAAGAAGUCAGAGUGCUGUCUGUAAGAACCAAUCCAGGAGACUAAGCAUAGCCAUGUGACAAUUGGUCUGAAAUGGCUAAGAUGUGAUUAAUAUUAAUAACUGACAAUUUCCCUAAUUUUGCCCUCUCUUCCAACAUAGAACCAACCUGAGAACCCCAAACAUGAACCCCUGACCAAUCACAAAGGAUGCUCACAAAGGAUGAUCCACCUGUAGCUAGCCCACCUGCAGGGUCUCCAUACCAACAGUCUCCAAUCAGGCAUACCUGGUGUCACCCUGCUUCCACGAGAAGGCUUGCUCGUGUCUCUACCUGCCUUUACGUUUCUGCCAAACACAAGUGAUGCUCUCAUGGACGUCCCAGCAGAUACAGUGGGCAUUGCCCAACUCUGCAGACCCCAGCCUUGGACCACGAGUUUCCUGAGAAGACAGAGGCCCCUAGUACCCGCUGUACACAGCUUGUCACGUCCACGCUUAUAUGGUCCACCUGUCAAUAGAUGAAUGCUGCUCAGAAGGCUUCUAUUUUUCUGUACCAUUGCUGUUACACCAGAGAGAAGCACAGAGAGUUAAAAAUGGCAUAAUCUAUUAAUAUUAAUAAUUGCUCUCCCCACUGCUACCUGGUUAAAUAAAGAAUAAAUUAAAUUG